rnacentral:rRNA from 1 species
CACAUGCAAGUCGAGCGGUAGCACAGAGAGCUUGCUCUCGGGUGACGAGCGGCGGACGGGUGAGUAAUGUCUGGGAAACUGCCUGAUGGAGGGGGAUAACUACUGGAAACGGUAGCUAAUACCGCAUAACGUCGCAAGACCAAAGUGGGGGACCUUCGGGCCUCAUGCCAUCAGAUGUGCCCAGAUGGGAUUAGCUAGUAGGUGGGGUAACGGCUCACCUAGGCGACGAUCCCUAGCUGGUCUGAGAGGAUGACCAGCCACACUGGAACUGAGACACGGUCCAGACUCCUACGGGAGGCAGCAGUGGGGAAUAUUGCACAAUGGGCGCAAGCCUGAUGCAGCCAUGCCGCGUGUGUGAAGAAGGCCUUCGGGUUGUAAAGCACUUUCAGCGGGGAGGAAGGCGUUAAGGUUAAUAACCUUGGCGAUUGACGUUACCCGCAGAAGAAGCACCGGCUAACUCCGUGCCAGCAGCCGCGGUAAUACGGAGGGUGCAAGCGUUAAUCGGAAUUACUGGGCGUAAAGCGCACGCAGGCGGUCUGUCAAGUCGGAUGUGAAAUCCCCGGGCUCAACCUGGGAACUGCAUUCGAAACUGGCAGGCUAGAGUCUUGUAGAGGGGGGUAGAAUUCCAGGUGUAGCGGUGAAAUGCGUAGAGAUCUGGAGGAAUACCGGUGGCGAAGGCGGCCCCCUGGACAAAGACUGACGCUCAGGUGCGAAAGCGUGGGGAGCAAACAGGAUUAGAUACCCUGGUAGUCCACGCCGUAAACGAUGUCGAUUUGGAGGUUGUGCCCUUGAGGCGUGGCAUCCGGAGCUAACGCGUUAAAUCGACCGCCUGGGGAGUACGGCCGCAAGGUUAAAACUCAAAUGAAUUGACGGGGGCCCGCACAAGCGGUGGAGCAUGUGGUUUAAUUCGAUGCAACGCGAAGAACCUUACCUGGUCUUGACAUCCACAGAACUUUCCAGAGAUGGAUUGGUGCCUUCGGGAACUGUGAGACAGGUGCUGCAUGGCUGUCGUCAGCUCGUGUUGUGAAAUGUUGGGUUAAGUCCCGCAACGAGCGCAACCCUUAUCCUUUGUUGCCAGCGGUUCGGCCGGGAACUCAAAGGAGACUGCCAGUGAUAAACUGGAGGAAGGUGGGGAUGACGUCAAGUCAUCAUGGCCCUUACGACCAGGGCUACACACGUGCUACAAUGGCAUAUACAAAGAGAAGCGACCUCGCGAGAGCAAGCGGACCUCAUAAAGUAUGUCGUAGUCCGGAUUGGAGUCUGCAACUCGACUCCAUGAAGUCGGAAUCGCUAGUAAUCGUAGAUCAGAAUGCUACGGUGAAUACGUUCCCGGGCCUUGUACACACCGCCCGUCACACCAUGGGAGUGGGUUGCAAAAGAAGUAGGUAGCUUAACCUUCGGGAGGGCGCUUACCACUUUGUGAUUCAUGACUGGGGUGAAGUCAUA